rnacentral:rRNA from 1 species
CACUAUGCCUGGCUGUAAACAUUGAUAAAAUACCACAAAUAUUAUCCGCCCGGGUACUACGAGCACUAGCUUAAAACCCAAAGGACUUGGCGGUGCUUUAGACCCCCCUAGAGGAGCCUGUUUCUAGAACCGAUAAUCCCCGUUCAACCUCACCCCUCCCUGUCAAUUCUGCCUAUAUACCGCCGUCGCCAGCCUACCCUGUGAAGGAACCAUAGUGGGCCAUACUGGUAAUACCCCAAACGUCAGGUCGAGGUGUAGCAUAUGGAGGGGGAAGUAAUGGGCUACAUUCACUGCAUCAGUGAAUACGAAAGGUGCGCUGAAAGACGCAUCUGAAGGUGGAUUUAGCAGUAAGAGGGGAGCAGAGUGCCCUUCUGAAAUCGGCUCUUGAGCGUGCACACAUCGCCCGUCACUCUCCCCGAACCCGUCUAUUCUCGUACUUAACAAUACGGACACCACUAAGGGGAGGCAAGUCGUAA